GACGAACGCUGGCGGCGUGCCUAAUACAUGCAAGUAGGACGCAGUUGCGAACGGGUGAGUAACGCGUAGGUAACUACCUAUUAGAGGGGGAUAACUAUUGGAAACGAUAGCUAAUACCGCAUCCUAGUAGAUGGACCUGCGUUGUAUUAGUUAGUAGGUAGGGGAAAGGCCUACCUAGGCAAAGAUACAUAGCCGACCUGAGAGGGUGAUCGGCCACACUGGGACUUGGACACGGCCCAGACUCCUACGGGAGGCAGCAGUAGGGAAUCUGCGGCAAUGGACGAAAGUCUGACGGAGCAACGCCGCGUGAGUGAUGACGGCCUUCGGGUUGUAAAGCUCUGUUAAUCGGGACGCGGUACCGGAAUAGAAAGCGACGGCUAACUACGUGCCAGCAGCCGCGGUAAUAC
rnacentral:rRNA from 1 species